rnacentral:rRNA from 1 species
GACGAACGCUGGCGGCGUGCCUAACGCAUGCAAGUCGAGCGAGGGCUCUUCUUCCGCAAGGGAGGGGGUACCUAGCGGCGAACGGGUGAGUAACACGUGGGCAACCUUUCCCAUCGUGGGGGAGUAACACCGGGAAACCGGUGCUAAUACCGCAUGAGGUCACUGGGGGCAUCCCUGGUGAAGAAAGCAGGAAUGCGCGAUGGGGUGGGCCCGCGGCCUAUCAGCUAGUCGGUGGGGUGAUGGCCUACCGAGGCAUUGACGGGUAGCUGGUCUGAGAGGACGGCCAGCCACAC